CCAGACUCCUACGGGAGGCAGCAGUGGGGAACAUUGCACAAUGGGGGAAACCCUGAUGCAGCGACGCCGCGUGAGUGAAGAAGUAUUUCGGUAUGUAAAGCUCUAUCAGCAGGGAAGAAAUAGCGACCUUUGGGUCGCCAGACGGUACCUGACUAAGAAGCCCCGGCUAACUACGUGCCAACAGCCGCGGUAAUACGUAGGGGGCAAGCGUUAUCCGGAUUUACUGGGUGUAAAGGGGGCGCAGACGGCAAUGCAAGCCAGGAGUGAAAGCCCGGGGCCCAACCCCGGGACUGCUCUUGGAACUGCAUAGCUGGAGUACAGGAGGGGCAGGCGGAAUUCCUAGUGUAGCGGUGAAAUGCGUAGAUAUUAGGAGGAACACCGGUGGCGAAGGCGGCCUGCUGGACUGUGACUGACGUUGAGGCCCGAAGGCGUGGGGAGCAAACAGGAUUAGAUACCCUUGUAUG
rnacentral:rRNA from 1 species